rnacentral:rRNA from 1 species
GAAUCUUCCGCAAUGGGCGCAAGCCUGACGGAGCAACGCCGCGUGCGGGAGGACGGUUUGUGGACUGUAAACCGCUUUUAAUAGGGAAGAAGAACUGACGGUACCUAUUGAAUAAGCAUCGGCUAACUCCGUGCCAGCAGCCGCGGUAAUACGGAGGAUGCAAGCGUUAUCCGGAAUUAUUGGGCGUAAAGGGUCCGCAGGUGGCGUAUCAAGUCAGCUGUUAAAGGUCGGGGCUUAACUCCGGACAAGCAGUUGAAACUGGUAGGCUAGAGUACGGUAGGGGUAGAGGGAAUUCCUAGUGUAGCGGUGAAAUGCGUAGAUAUUAGGAAGAACACCAGUGGCGAAGGCGCUCUACUGGGCCUGUACUGACACUGAGGGACGAAAGCUAGGGGAGCGAAAGGGAUUAGAUACCC